rnacentral:rRNA from 1 species
AAUAUCGGACAAUGGGGGCAACCCUGAUCCAGCCAUGCCGCGUGUGUGAAGAAGGUCUUCGGUUUGUAAAGCACUUCAAGUUGGGAGGAAGGGCUUUAGGCUAAUACUCUGAAGUUGUGACGUUACCGACAGAAUAAGCACCGGCUAACUCUGUGCCAGCAGCCGCGGUUAUACAGAGGGUGCAAGCGUUCAUCGAAAUUACUGGGUGUAAAGCGAGCGUAGGUGGUUCAGUAAGAUGGGUGUGAAAUCCCCGGGCUCAACCUGGGAACUGCAUCCAUAACUGCUGGGCUAGAGUACGGUAGAGGGUAGUGGAAUUUCCUGUGUAGCGGUGAAAUGCGUAGAUAUAGGAAGGAACACCAGUGGCGAAGGCGACUACCUGGACUGAUACUGACACUGAGGUGCGAAAGCGUGGGGAGCAAACAGG